rnacentral:ncRNA from 1 species
UCCGAGGUUUUAAUUUAAGUUUUAUUCUUGUUAGGUUGUUCAUUUUAUUUUUAUGUUAUAUACUAGUUUUGUUCUGCUAAAUGUUUCAUUAUGUAGUAAUUUAAUUUAAUUAUUAUCAAGUUAUUUUGGAAUUAGUAAUUGAUUAAGUUUUGACAAAUUUUGUUCCAGCAGUCGCGGUUAUACAAUUAAUGCAUAUGAAUAUUUUUGACUUUGCAGAUUAUUAUUUUUAUAAGAUUUUUAAUUUCCUUAUUAUUGGGUUAAAUUUUAUUUUGAUUGAUUGGUCUUUUUUUUGAUUCUGUGAAAAUUUUUGUUUAAACUAAUUUUAGAGACAGUGUUAUUUUAAUUGUAAAUGUUUACUGUCAUUGUAUUAAUAGGUAAGUUUUUUAUACAUAAAGAAUUUGGCGGUAUUUCAUUCUAUUUAUAGGAAUUUAUCCCAUWAUUGAUAAUAAACUAUUUGUUGUACUUAAUUUAUGUUUGUAUAUUUCCGUCAUUAGAAUAUCUUUUUACAGUAAUAAAAUUUUCUUAAUUCUUAAUUUAGAAUUAUUUCAGGUCAAAAUGCAGCUUUAGUUAAUUUUAGUCAGGUUACAAUAAUUUUGUAUUUGUCGGUUUUAUUUAUGUAAAUUUUUAAUUAAGUUGGAUUUAAUAGUAAUUUAUUUAACUUUAUUUGUUUGAAAUUUGGUUUUGGAGUGUGUACACAUCGCCCGUCACUCUCAUUAUUUUAUUUUGUUUAAAUUAAUUUUUUUAUUUGAGAUAAGUCGUAACAUAGUAGGUGUACUGGAAAGUGUAUCUAGUAAGUUUU